AGUGAACGCUGGCGGCAGGCCUAACACAUGCAAGUCGAACGGCAGCGGGUCAGUAGCAAUACUGAUGCCGGCGAGUGGCGGACGGGUGAGGAAUACAUCGGAAUCUACCUUGUCGUGGGG
rnacentral:rRNA from 1 species